UCCAGAGAAAGGAAGUGACUGUGCCUGCAGCCGCAACAAGCCAGUGUGCCAGCAGCCGCGGUAAUACAGAACUCAAAGAAAUUGACGGGACCCGUCAAUUCAUUUGAGUUACCGCGGCUGCUGGCAUCCCGUCAAUUCCUUUGAGUUCCCGUCAAUUUAUUUGAGUUGGCUUGUUGCGGCUGCUGGCACACGCCCCGUCAAUUCCUUUGAGUUCCCGUCAAUUUCACUGAGUUCCCGUCAAUUUAUUUGAGUUGGGCUUGUUGCGGCUGCUGGCACAGUUGCUAUGCGGCUGCUGGCACA
rnacentral:rRNA from 1 species